rnacentral:rRNA from 1 species
UACCAGCACCCCGAGUGGUCGGGACGAUUAUUGGGCCUAAAGCAUCCGUAGCCGGUUCUACAAGUCUUCCGUUAAAUCCACCUGCUUAACAGAUGGGCUGCGGAGGAUACUAUGGAGCUAGGAGGCGGGAGAGGCAAGCGGUACUUAGUGGGUAGGGGUAAAAUCCGUUGAUCCAUUGAAGACCACCAGUGGCGAAGGCGGCUUGCCAGAACGCACUCGACGGUGAGGGAUGAAAGCUGGGGGAGCAAGCCGG